UGAGGGUCGGUUUUAAGGUUUCAAAAGUCCAUCCCCAGGCCCAGUCUUGCUCUUUCUCUACCUGCAACUUG